GACGAACGCUGGCGGCGUGCUUAACACAUGCAAGUCGUACGGUAAGGCCCUUUCGGGGGUACACGAGUGGCGAACGGGUGAGUAACACGUGAGUAACCUGCCCACAACUUUGGGAUAACGCUAGGAAACUGGUGCUAAUACUGGAUAUGUGCCCCUGCUGCAUGGUUGGGGUUGGAAAGCUCCGGCGGUUGUGGAUGGACUCGCGGCCUAUCAGCUUGUUGGUGGGGUAGUGGCCUACCAAGGCGGCGACGGGUAGCCGGCCUGAGAGGGUGACCGGCCACAUUGGGACUGAGAUACGGCCCAGACUCCUACGGGAGGCAGCAGUGGGGAAUAUUGCACAAUGGGCGCAAGCCUGAUGCAGCAACGCCGCGUGCAGGAUGACGGCCUUCGGGUUGUAAACCGCUUUCAGCAGGGACGAAGCUUUUUGUGACGGUACCUGCAGAAGAAGCACCGGCUAACUACGUG
rnacentral:rRNA from 1 species